rnacentral:lncRNA from 1 species
AAACAGGGCACUAAUGCAUCAAUGAAUCCACCAUUAUAAUAAUCCAAAUAACGCAAGGCUUAGCAGCCAGGGAAGUAAUUUGACGAAAAUUAAGGCAACACUUCAGCUGCAAGUUUACUGAACUACAUCAUGACAGAAAGUUUGGCAACAAUCAUAUAAGCUCAUGAUGUUCGAGGUAAAAAUCAUAUCAGAUGGUAGAAAUUGCAAAAGAAUAUAUAUGUGAGUAUGUUUCUUACAUAUUGAAACCAAGAGUUAAAAACGUUGAAAUGAAUACACACACACACACACGCACACACACACGUCGUGUAUAAGUGUGGAGCAUAACACAUUGAAAAGCUAAUGACUUCAAUUGCAUUUUCUCUCAACAAUGUUAGCAUUAUGUGGGUAUCUCCUAAAUUUCACAGCCUUAUUUUUGCAUGCACUACGGUUAAAAGUUUAUGCAUGCGUUGUGUGGAUAAUUUGGAAGGAGGACUAUGUGGAAAAUUUGGAAUUUUCACAAAUGGAUUUAACUUUGAAGGCAAGGAACCAUCUAUUACUCACGUUCCAAGGUGUGAAGUGGGAGAGAGGGGAUGUGGUGAUUAAGGUUUUGAUGACUAAUGCUAUAUAAGGAGGCCCCACAACUUCUCCCAUCGCCUAAUACAUAAGAGCAUCUACAACUAUACCCCUCAGAAUCCCGCCUCCCUAAUACGUCCUGGCAGACGACCUAUUCACUGUCGGUGACAAAAUUGCCGCCCAACCGGACACCUUAAACCGUCAACAUAAGUUUGGGCUGUCCGGCACCCCUCCAACCCAUAUCUGUGGCGGAUUGGAUACAGGGACGCUCGGGCGUGUCCGCCACGUUGUACUCACAGGAGGGAUCUAUCUCAAAUCUCUUCAGGUCACCCCUAACCUAGCCCAACUUGCCCUAUUCCUCUCUUAUUUUCUGCCUCGUCCACACAACCGCUACCAUAGCUCCGCCGCCACCCUAGCUCCGUCGUCAGCCCCAACCGACAACACCGUCAUCCAUGUCGCCACUGGACGCUGCCCUGAUACGUCCAACUCCUCCCGGCAUACACCUCGCACUCUAUGUGGUCGAUGAAAUGUCUGAGUAAUUUUUUUAUUUUGCUCAUUUGUAGGCAAACAAUGGAUUCGUCUGAUGAGUAUUGGAACAAGGACCUUGUAUAAUUUAUAUAUAAAGGGUUCAUUGAUUUGUCAGAUUCGAACGACAAAAAUGUUGGAAUGAUGAUGAGCAUCCAUAAUGAAUUGGAGAAGCAAUAGGAGAAUGUCCUGAACUUCAAGGGUUCGAUAAACGGCAGGAUAGUUGUUCCUUGAGAUAGGAUUACUGGUGCAAAGCUUCUCUACAAGGACAACUUCACACCGGAUCUAACAUACCAUGAUGAAGGUUUUUUUUGGCGUCGCUACCGGAUGAGCAGAGUUUGUUCAUACGCGUAGUGAAUGUCGUGGAGGAGGUUGAUGACUACUUCAAGCUGAAGAAAGAUUGUUGUGAACAACUUUUCUUCUCUCAUCUGCAAAAUUGCACAACUGCUCUCAGGAUGCUCGAUUAUGAUAAAGCCGCAAAUGCCAUCGAUGUUGAAAUCCAGAUGGGAGAGACAACAUGCAUGCAUCAUGGUGAAAGUGUUUGUACCAAAGAGCAUCAAGUGGAUCCCGGUAUGCUUUGUCAAGGGCGUCUGCUACAAAUAAGUCGGAUGAUUUCUCUAAGAAAUCAUCUGCCUAUUCAGCCGUUGGAUCAGGGUGUUGGCUGUCGUUGGAUCACAAUAGGUAGCAGCGAGCACAUCAGCUUCAACCCAACGCCACUGCAGCCUCGCGCGAAGCUCCAAUGAAGCACCGAUGGCGUCCGAUGAGUUCCAACGCGGCACCAACGCUCCGGUGAAGUUCCAUUGCAACUCUGGUUGUGCUCCAUUGCAGCCUCGGCGGAGCUCCAACGCAGCACCGACGCUCCGACAAAGCUCCACUACAACUCCGGCCGAGCUUCAUUGCAGCCCUGGCAAAGCUCCGACGGCUCUGACAGAGCUCCAUUGCAACUCCAGUCGAGCUUCAUUGCAGCCCUGGCAAAGCUCCGACGGCUCCGACAACACUCCAUUGCAACUCCAACCGAGCUCCAUUGCAGCUGCGGCGGAGCUCCAACGCAGCGCCGCCGCCUCCGGCGAAGCUCCCUUUUCCGUGUUGCUCUGCAGCAAGCGUCGCCGCAACGACCGGCCGGCUUGCCGCCGAUAGGCUCCUCUGCAACAGCAGCGAGGUCACGCUGAUUUGAAGAAGAAAAACGUGACGCUCCUCGUGAAAAGCACCGAUGGGCAUCUCUUCCUUUGCAAAACAGGUCGCCAUGGAGUUUCCUGCAGCAAUUAGCGCCGGCGAGGAGUGGUGGCCGGCCGGGCAACAGCCCAGGGAGGAGAGGGCGCUGGGGAGAGAGAGAGGAAAGGGGUGGGGGGAGAGAGCGCGCUAGUGCGGAGGGGAUUAGCGAGAGACGACGAGAUGGGAACAAUCGAGAAGAUAAGGCUUCAUCGGUCCCGCAAGGGACACGUGGCAAGAGAGGGAAGGGACUUAAGCGGCGAGAAAAUCAUCCGCCUGAUUUUAAGCGUUUUCCUUUGUCAAGUCGAUUGCGUGCAUUCAUAAUGAAAGAAUUGAUCGAAAGGUUUACGCAAGUAGUAUUAAGGUCACACCAAAAAGAACAUUGUCAUACCUAAAGUAGUGGCAUUGAAGAACUUGUGAAUUUUACAUGUUUUUUUUGGCAUGUUUGGCUCUAACGAUGAUAUCAAUGUACUUUAUUCAAGAGACUUUGUGAUGGUAGCACAAGUAUAAAAUAUGAUACUACCUUAUUAAUAGCAUCUUAUUCUCGGUGGAUGAUAUUUAUGAAGACUAUAUCCAGCCACAAGGUAACAAACAAUGUCUCUCUUCACAAAUAAGACGGUACGAUGUGAAAAGGGUAUUCUAAGUGCUUCAAAGUCAGCUUGUUUCGUGUAACUUCAAUAAUGUGAAAACUAACACUUUGCCAGCUGAUGACAUGUUGUGUAAUCUUGAACACCAUGAUUGUGGAGAAUGGAGGCAAAGGCAACCCUAUGCAUGAUUUAGAGAACCCCAAGUUCAUGCCAAUAUGUGAAUUUAUGCAACUUUUAUGUUUCAACUAUGAUUUUGCUGCGUAUGAAUACAUUUUAUGCUUGAACCACGUUUUUAUGUGCAAUUUCCCUCCUUCUGUAAGGAAUAUCGUAACCUUUAAUUAUAUGUGGGAUAUACCAACUGUUUCACACAUCCAACAAUACACAUGAACAGAGAGUAAGCUGAACCAACCAGCGGAGCGUAUCAGAUUCAUAGAUUUGCACAUACACAUGGUCUACGCUAGAGUAAAACAGGGCACCAAUGCAUCAAUGAACCCACUAUUAUAAUAAUCCAAAUAACGCAAGGCUUAGCAGCCAGGGAAGUAAUUUGACGAAAAUUAAGGCAGCACUUCAGCUGCAAGUUUACUGAACUGCAUCACGACAGAAAGUCUGGCAACAAUCAUAUAAGUUCAUGAUGUUCGAGGUAAAAAUCUAUCAUCACACCAUAAAAGAGAGUUCUACUUCAGGUUUAUCCGAUAACAUGGAAACUCUAACAUCCUCUCCUGCAUUAAAGAAGCUGAUGACUUCCGCACCAUCUGAAUCACUCGUGGAGGGUGCCCAGAAUGUCAUCGUCUCUGUAGAGGAGGUACCUGAAAAGUUUCAGGUGCAUUAGAAAAGGCAGAAAAAACUGAUAAUAUAGGAGGUAGGAGCAAUGGUAUCUGUCUUCUCAUAAAGUUUGGAAAACCAUGCCACCAGAAUGACCGAUGGGUAAAAAUAGAACAUUGUCACCCAAACGAGCAUGUGAAAAGUGGCGUAUUAGUAGAAAGAGCUAUUACCAUCUUUAGCAAUAGCAGGAGUUUCAAAUCACACAGUUAGAUAUUAGCACUUCCCAAGUAACACAUCUGCCAUCCAACUACGUAAUAUAAUUAUCCAAGUUAAGGCAAAAUGGCUUGACGUAGCAACACAGACCGUGUGAAAGAUUUUAGUACCAACUACCUAGUGGCUGUGGCAGCAUUUGAAUGAAGCAUGUCAGGUUGUACAGUUACUGAUAUACUGCAAUUCGCAGUUCAAAAAUCGCUCACAUGUUACAACUUGUGUCCCAAUAGAAUUCAUUAUCCUAAGUUGAUGGAUGGAAUAAUCAAAUAAUGAAAAGGUAUGGAAACAAUUGUUUCUACAAGUGACAGAAAUGUGCAGUAUACUUCAGAAUUAGGAUUUUGCACAUUGAUUUGUAUCACACGCAUCAAGAAAAACAUAAAAACAACACCAACAGAAGUAAUACGAUUGUGAAAUGAGUAACAUACUCUUUCUCAGGAGCAAGCUUGACUUCAAGACCACCAUACUCAGGCAGGAGCACAUGGUCACCUUCCUUGAGAGCAACAGGGAUCAGCUUCCCUUCCUUGUCACGGCUGCCAGGGC